AACUUAAUUGGUAUAUAGGCAAUUAUCCUGAGAAUGUAGGAGUCCCUUGUUGUCCUUUGUUCUUUUCUUGAUUUUCUCCCCACCUAUGGUCACUGAUUUAACUUUGUUUUCUUGUGAUUUGCUUCAAGAGCCCAUAUGUGAAAACUGUAAACAUUUCUGAUUAAUAGACCAUGUUAAAUUGGUUCCAGGUUAACUAAGGCUCACCUGUGUGUGAUAGCUGUGAAAUAUUUUAUUUUCUAGGCAUCAGAUAGAGUUGACGCUACCUGAUUCUCUAACUACCUGGGAAAUUCAAGGUGUUGGCAUCUCAAAUCAAGGUAAACAGCUAGUAUGAUAUACUGAAUUAAGGAGCAAUUUAUUCAUUGCAAUAUGUUUAUCAUUUUGUUGACAGUUUAUCCAGAACUUUGGCAAUAGCAUAUUUUAGACUCUCAUUGUAAGCUCGUAUGAAAAAGAUUUAUCUAUAUGUUUUUGAAUAUAUUUUGUUCAUUUAAUGUUUUUGUAAGCCAUCAUUAUAUGAGCCACAGUUUCAAGUUCCUACUUUCCUAAAACUGUUAUGAUUUGCUGGGAGGUUGAGGUGGAGGAUAAAAACAGGACUCAUUACUGAGUUUUCCCUCAAACUAUGGGUAACAGUGCAAAUCAAUAUCAUUUGUAAAUUAUUUUUAAGGAUAUUUAUUUGAAGGGUGCCUGGGUGGCUCAGUUGGUUGAGCAUCUGACUCUUGAUUUCAGCUCAGGUCGUGAUUCCAGGGUUGUGAGAUCAAGCCCCACAUCAGGCUCUGCCUGACCAUGGAGCCUACUUGGGAUUUUUUUUUCUCUCUCUCUCCCUUUCCCCAGCUCACACACCCCCAUUUGUGCACACCUUCUCUCUCUCUCAAAUUAAAAAAAAAAUGUUAUUUCAUUUUUUAUAAUUCAAUAUUUCACCCAUUAAAUGGUUUCCAUAAUGUAUUAAUGUCUUUGGCUACACUGAAAAAUAGGAUGGAGACAGACUGCUAAAAAAAAACAAAAACAAAAAAAAAACUAUGCAAUUUUGUAACCAGAGCACUAACAACAGCAACAAAAGAACAAUAGUCUGAUAAAGUUCCAAAGAUAUUAAAUUCUAACAGAAAAUGUUAUAGUACAUACAGUACUUUAAUCUUUAAAAAGAACACAAGUAAAGGUAGCUAAACAGAAGGUUGUGUGAGGGAUGGCUGUGGUGGCUGAGUUAUGGAGAAAUGUGUAGACGUCUGGGGAAGCUGAUGGCCAAAUGGAGCCGAUGAAAAUAUGUGGGGCAAAUGGACGUUGUGUCAUAGUACUCGGUUCCUCGUUUGCUGGCUGCUUUCAGCUGAGUAAUGUACUUGUGUUCAGCUCCUAUUACAUGGUGGCCAAAAAUAUUGAAGUGUUAGGGGAAAAAGUGCACAUGAAUCACCAGGAUGCAUUGCCAUCAUUCCCUGACUUAGCAAUCAUUGCAAGCUAAGAACAUUCAGGCCUAUACCUGGAGCUGAACAGACUGUGCCUAAAAAAAUGUUGUGCGUGUGUACUUAAUAUUUUUAUCCAGUGCCUUAAGGAAAUGAUUCUCAGGCUAAUGGAAGUUACUAAUGUUUUGUUGUGGUGGUGGUGGCUGAAGUUCACAAACUAAUGGUGCAAAUGUGAACACUGAGUGGAUAUUUGAUGAUACUAAAAACUCUCAUUGUUUUUGACAGUGAGGUUAAAAAAACGGAAGUUAUUGUCUUUGAGAGAUAUAUGCUGAAAUAUUGACAGAGAAAAUAACGUGAUACUGAGAUUUGCCUCAAGAUAUUUCAGGAAGUUCAGGAGAGAUGGGUACAGAGGAAACAAAACUGGCCAUGAGUUGAUAAUAAUCACUGAGCUGGGUAGUGGGAACGUGGAGGUUCAUUAUGCCAUUCUUUCUACUGUUUAUAUAAGUUUGAUUUUUCCUAUAACCAAAAGGGUACUUUUUUAACUUUACAAAUAAUCAUAAUAAGGCCUCUUUGUUUAUGGCCAUUAUUUGAAUGUUGAAGACAAAGGCCUGCCCGCCAGAUAGCCCCGUGGCUCACUCUGCCACAGGUUCCGGGCUUCCCCUGACCAACCUGUGUACCGGACCUUAUCUUCUUUAUAUGUGUCACUGCCUCAUAGUUUAUCACAUAUUGUUUAUGUCUUCGUGACUAGAGGGAAGAUUUUGCCUGUCUUGUUCACUAUUGUAUCUGCAUUAGCUAGAACAGUGGCCCGUGGUGGUAGACUAAGUAUUAAUUGAUUUGAGAAAUAAGCAUCACUAAGUAGAACUUUCAAGAAGAAGAGAGAAAUAUAGGGGGAAAAAAAGGAAACUCAAUAUCGUCUUUUUCUCUUCCUCCAAGUAAAAUACAAGAAUUUUGGAGAAGAAGAAGUACCCUGGGGGCCCCCUAAUGUGCUUCUGUGCGCUGUCACCCCUCACAGGUCUGUGUGUUGCUGAUGUGCUGCAGCUCCAGGUGCACAAAGACAGUUUCCUGGUCGGAGACAACCAUGUGGCAAUCGUCAAUUAAGAGGGACAGUUUCCCACACUAAAGUUCCUAAGUAUGUAGGUAAAUACGUGGCACCAGAGUCAAGGGCUGAGAAAUCUAAUGGUAAAUCCACUAUACACAAUUCACUUUAAUGUGGCACGAACACUGCCCUUAAUGCAAAAGGAUCUGACAUCAGGGAGGAUUGGGGUGAGGGGGAAGGAGUGAGAGACUCUCAAGUUGUAUAUAAUUAACGUAUCACCAGAGAAAAGGAAUGGAAGUUUAGGUGAGAAUAAGGUCAUAUUUUUGUUGGGAAUGGUGGGAGUUGAGGGAAGUCUUCCUUAAAUUAAUCCACAGAAGCACAAGACUGGUGGUUGCCAGUGGUGGGGUUGGGGGCUGCGAGAGAUGUGGAGUAACUGCCUGAUGGGUAAGGGUUUUUUGUUUUUUGUUUUGUUUUGUUUUUUUGAGCAAUGAAAAUAUUUUGGAAUUAGAUAAAGGUAGUAAUUGCAUAAUAUUGUGAAUGUACUGAAUACCACUGAAUUGUUCACUUAAAAAUGGUUAAUUUUAUAUGAAUUUCACCUCAAAACAAAGAAAAGUCUUCUUGUACUAGCUAAUGUUGGGGAGGGCAGUGGAAGUCCCCUCCUCUGUAAAAGUAGGAGGAUUGGCAGAUGAAAUCAUCUCUGUCCCACCCCCACAUCACUCUGGACAUUUGGGAUGGAUCUCAGAGAAUGGGUAGGAUUUUCACAAGUAGAAAUAACGACUGGAGUAUUUUAUGAUGAUAAAACAGCAUACAUAUGGAAAGGGGAAACCAUGGACAGUUUAUUGCGGCCAGACCCUAGUAGGCUUAGAGGUAAACAUUCUUUUGAACUUCUAAAUUAUUCCCAGAAGCAGACUAAAGGACCCUUCCCAGUCUUAACAGUGAGUUGAUGGCAGACCUAAACCUAGAACUUUGGUCUUUUGACUUUUAGGCUUGUGUUCUUUUCACUAUAGAAAAUAAUCGAUUCCAUAUGCUUUAGAUCAACAAAUUCGUCUUAAAUAAAUUGUACUAAGAGUUGCAGUAUAUUUAAAAAUGAAUAUGUAAUCCAGGAAUUAAAACCCCAAAUCUCAGUCUGGAAUGACCAUAUAGUUAACACCAGUUUGUCUUUCAGAGUUCCAGUGAGAGCCAUUUUCUUGGGGAACCUUCUAUUAGCCCCAAGCCCUGAUAGAACUGUUACUUUCCUUUCUAUUUAUCUCAAGUCUAUCAUUACACUCAUAAGCAUGCUUAUAUAGCUAAUGUCUGUCUCUCCUACUAAUCUGACCUAACAUUUACUGAGGACUUAAUCAAGGUCAGAUCCAUCCUAAGCUUUUUGCAAGAAUUCAUUUACCUAAUUUUCACCAUAACCCUAUGAAGUAGAUAUUUCAUUUGUUCUCCCUUUACGGAUAGAGAAACUGAGGCACACAGCGAUUAAUUUGUGCAAGUCAAACAGUGAGUAGCAGAACCAGGACCCAGCCCCAGCAGACUGAUUCACGAGUCCACACACUGUAGCUCCUCCCUGAGAGCAGCAGCGACUGUCUCUGUGAUUGCAUCCUCGGCACCUGCCUGCCCAGAGCGUGUGCACGACUGUCAAACAAACGCAUGGUCUCAAUGCGAGCUCAGGAAUGGCUCAUACUUGGCUGUGUAGCCUGAGCAAGUCACCUGGCUUCUCUGAACUCAACAUUUAUCCUAACCACCAUGUUUAGAGUUGUAAAGCCCAAAUGAGAUCAUGGAUGUGAAAACACCUUGGACAAGAAUGAAUGUUUAAAUAAAUACAAAUGUACAGGAUGACAUAGUAAGGAUGCUUCAUAAAUUGUAUUCUUCUAAAUACUUUAAUUAUUUGAGAGAAUCAUAGAUUUGGAUUCACUUUUGUUCAAAAAGCAUUUAUUUUUUAUUUUUUUUUUUCCUUCAACGUUUAUUUAUUUUUGGGACAGAGAGAGACAGAGCAUGAGUGGGGGAGGGGCAGAGAGAGAGGGAGACACAGAAUCGGAAACAGGCUCCAGGCUCUGAGCCAUCAGCCCAGAGCCUGACGUGGGGCUCAAACUCACAGACCGCGAAAUCGUGACCUGGCUGAAGUCGGACGCUUAACCGACUGCACCACCCAGGCGCCCCUCAAAAAAGCAUUUUAAGAAAAGUUCAGAUAGAAGUCUUUUUCAGUGGCACGAUUUGUCUCAAUGAGACGCAUUAUUUGGUAACAAUUCUCACUGGCUUGAGUAACCUGCCAGCAAUGAUAGCUAAUUGCCUUUUGGACAGAGGCUUCACAUAGAUCUUAACUUCUUCCUUCAUAUAUUGGAAUAGGCUCAGUUUCAUUUCCUUCAGAGUUCAGCAUUCACAAGAUUUAUGUGUAUUAUUUAUGCUUUUAAUUAAGGCCUCAAGUAGAAUAAAAGCACACUUAACCUUACUUGGGAAUUGAUUUCCAUUUUAAAAACAGUAAUGGGGUCACUCAUUUUUGAUUGGCUGUCCCAAUUAUAAACCCACUAAAUAAAUGGUUACCUAAAAAAAGAAAGAGGUUAUUAAACAGAUGAAUCAAAAGCAGUGAACUGCUCUUAUUUAUGGUGCCCACUUUUAUUUCUAAUUUAUUUCUAAUGCUUUUAUUAGAAGUGAGGGCCCUGGAGCAAGCCCUGUAGUAGAGAUCCAAACCUAGACAUCAACCCCAAAUUCUGGCACCAUAACUAAACCUUCAGGUUUGUACUCAGCUCCUUGACUCCUUUGAAAUACUAUGGCAACUUGAAGUUACAGAUUUCAAGUCAUUCUAUAUUAAAGCAAGUAAAAAGAGGGAAUCUCUCACAGACAAAUUCAUUGCCAGUGUUCAUUCAGCCCACAGUUAUUAGCAUUGACUCAGGUGGCGGGCACUGAGAUGGCAAUAAGAAGUGACUGCUGAAGCAGAAAAACAGAAAAAUUCCGCAACACCACCUACCACUGUUGUCAAUAUAGAAAUUUCCUUUUUUCUGCAACUGAGAUAAUUUUGUAAUAGCAAGGUAUGCUUGACCAAACUUGACCUGAUACCCUGAUUUGUACUGUUUGGCCCCGGGUCCUUGCCCUUGCCUUGAGUAUCUUUGUGGUGGUUUGCUCAUCUCUGGUUACUGAUGGCCAGAGAAAAGAUCUCCUUAGUUGAGUACAUUCGGCAGAAAAAUUCACCUUCCCCCCACCCCCCAUAAGCUCAAGGUCUUAAAAUGAAAUAUUUAAAUAUAUUUAUGAAUUCUGCCUUUCCUUACAAAAGAAUACUCUGCAUUGCCAAAAAUAAUAAUCUUUGGGAGUUCUGCUAGAAUUCAACAUCAUGUUUUGAUAUUCAGGAAUAUGGAAUGCAAAAGAUGAAAACACUUGUGUCAGCGAGUACUAACUAACCUGGAAUUCAUUCUUUCUUUCCUCAUUAUCAAAACCUGAAUUUUAGCUGGCCUUCAUUUCCCUUGAAGUUGGGCACAGCCUAUUCCCAAGUCUCUUCAUGAAAUGUAUGUAUGGGACUUUGGAGAAGGCUGCUCAAAGCAAGUGGAUUCAACAGGGAGGGGUCUCUUUUCUGCCUUCCUUUUUGCAGCCCUCAUCCUACAAACAAUCGCUGGAGUUCCAGCAGCCAACAUGGACCAUGAGGUAACACUGAAGAUGGAAGCUAGGUGAUAGCAUGGUGGAACAAAAAAAUAACGGCCCCUGCCUCUGAGGACAUAUGGAAAUGCCAUUGUAGCCUUGGACUUCUUUUAUGUGAGAAAGAAAUAAACAUAUACCUCAUUUGGG
rnacentral:lncRNA from 1 species